AUUGAACGCUGGCGGCAUGCCUUACACAUGCAAGUCGAACGGUAACAGGUCUUCGGAUGCUGACGAGUGGCGAACGGGUGAGUAAUACAUCGGAACGUGCCCGAGAGUGGGGGAUAACGAAGCGAAAGCUUUGCUAAUACCGCAUACGAUCUCAGGAUGAAAGCAGGGGACCGCAAGGCCUUGCGCUCACGGAGCGGCCGAUGGCAGAUAAGGUAGUUGGUGGGGUAAAAGCUUACCAAGCCGACGAUCUGUAGCUGGUCUGAGAGGACGACCAGCCACACUGGGACUGAGACACGGCCCAGACUCCUACGGGAGGCAGCAGUGGGGAAUUUUGGACAAUGGGCGCAAGCCUGAUCCAGCCAUGCCGCGUGCAGGAUGAAGGCCUUCGGGUUGUAAACUGCUUUCGUACGGAACGAAAAGACUCUGGUUAAUACCUGGGGUCCAUGACGGUACCGUAAGAAUAAGCACCGGCUAACUACGUGCCAGCCGCCGCCGUAAAAC
rnacentral:rRNA from 1 species